rnacentral:rRNA from 1 species
GCGAAUUCGCCCUUCGGGGUGCACCAGGCGCGAAAACUUUACAAUGCUGGAAACAGCGAUAAGGGGACCUCGAGUGCCAGGUUACAAAUCUGGCUGUCGUGAUGCCUAAAAAGCAUUGCAUAGCAAGGGCCGGGCAAGACCGGUGCCAGCCGCCGCGGUAACACCGGCGGCUCGAGUGGUAACCGUUAUUAUUGGGUCUAAAGGGUCUGUAGCCGGCCGGAUAAGUCUCUUGGGAAAUCCAGCAGCUCAACUGUUGGGCUUUCAGGAGAUACUGUCUGGCUCGAGGCCGGGAGAGGUGAGAGGUACUUCAGGGGUAGGGGUGAAAUCUUGUAAUCCUUGAAGGACCACCAGUGGCGAAGGCGUCUCACCAGAACGGACCUGACGGCAAGGGACGAGAGCUAGGGGCACGAACCGGAUUAGAUACCCGGGUAGUCCUAGCCGUAAACGAUACUCGCUAGGUGUCGGCCACGGUGCGACCGUUGUCGGUGCCGUAGGGAAGCCGUGAAGCGAGCCACCUGGGAAGUACGGCCGCAAGGCUGAAACUUAAAGGAAUUGGCGGGGGAGCAC